GAGCGAUUGCUGCAGUAUGCCAGAGAGUUCCCACCUGUCACCUUUCAUCUUGACAAACGCUUGGAGGAGUCAAGGAAAGACAAACGAAAGAAGACUGAAUCUACCCUUUCUAAGUUCCAUCAGGAUCCUUUCUAUGCCAGUGAUGCUGAAUUGUUGGCAGCUGCUGAGACUGUCCUUGAAGAGUCUGAGGUAGGGGUCUCCACACAGCUGACCACCUGGGGAGAGCUCACACCGGCUGUGAGUCAGGAGAACUCUUCCCACAGCCUCAGCACAUCUCAGGGAAGACCUUCUUCCCCUGUAGACACCUCUGCCUCAGAAACCAGUGGCAUCUUGCUGGAGGGCUGGCAGAAAUACUGGGAGCAUCCACCUCCAUCUACACAAGCCAAUGGUAUAGCUCCUCCUAACAUCAAGUGGCUGAAAUGUGAUGAGAUGUAUGGUCAAUCCUCAGUGUGACUGGAGAAAUCCUCUGCAUUGAUGGUACAAAAAAGGUCCUUAAGAAGAUAUAUGGUGAUGGCCAGGGCACCAUGCAGUAUAUCACCAGUGUGCUGAAUGAGUGGGGCCAGUUCUUGACCACAGUGGUGGUGGCAGCUGAGUCUGAGGGGUGCUACA